rnacentral:rRNA from 1 species
CUCUGUGACUCCUACGGGAGGCAGCAGUGGGGAAUAUUGCACAAUGGGCGCAAGCCUGAUGCAGCAACGCCGUGUGAGUGAAGAAGGUUUUCGGAUCGUAAAACUCUGUCCUAAGGGAAGAAACAAAUGACGGUACCUUAGGAGGAAGCCCCGGCUAACUACGUGCCAGCAGCCGCGGUAAUACGUAGGGGGCGAGCGUUAUCCGGAAUCACUGGGCGUAAAGGGUGCGUAGGCGGCUUAGCAAGCCAGGGGUGAAAGGCAUUGGCUCAACCAAUGUAAGCCUUUGGAACUGUUAGGCUUGAGUGCAGGAGAGGUAAGUGGAAUUCCUAGUGUAGAGGUGAAAUUCGUAGAUAUUAGGAGGAACACCAGUGGCGAAGGCGACUUACUGGACUGUAACUGACGCUGAUGCACGAAAGCGUGGGUAGCGAACAGGAUUAGAUACCCUGGUAG